CGGAACAACCACAAGGAUAGUCGUGGGAACUAGUUAAUUUUCCAGGAUUUACUUCAUCAUCCCCUUGGAUAAUUAUUGUAUACUGUGUUCUAUAUUCGUCCUGGUGACGGACAAUCAAGGACCACGUGCAUAAAACUGUAAUGACUGAGGCUUGUGAUUUCAUCGAACCAUCCCCAUCUGAAAAUCUCCUGGUGCCCUUAAUUAAGAAUAUAGAGGGAUUAGUAAAAAUAUAUCCGUGAAGUUGGAGGUUUUAAAAAAGAAUAUCUAGAAGCGAUGUCUUAAUGCUGUUCCUGCAAUUUAUGCAAAAUACAAAGUGAAUUAUUGAAGGUAUUAUAACAGGCUGCUCCGAAAUUUAAUGGGCCA